rnacentral:rRNA from 1 species
AUUGAACGCUGGCGGCAGGCCUAACACAUGCAAGUCGAGCGAGCGGCGGACGGGUGAGGAAUGUCUGGGAAACUGCCUGAUGGAGGGGGAUAACUACUGGAAACGGUAGCUAAUACCGCAUACAAUCAGAGGUGCCCAGAUGGGAUUAGCUAGUAGGUGGGGUAACGGCUCACCUAGGCGACGAUCCCUAGCUGGGCUGAGAGGAUGACAAGCCACCCUGGGACUGAGACACGGUCCAUCCUCCUACGGUAGGCAGCAGUGGGGAAUAUUGGACAAUGGGCGCAAGCCUGAUGCAGCCAUGCCGCGUGUGUGAAGAAUGCCUUCGGGUUGUAAAGCACUUUCAGCGGUGAGGCGUUACCCGCAGAAGAAGCACCGGCUAACUCCGUGCCAGCAGCCGCGGUAAUAC